GACGUAGGGCGCGAGCGUUGUCCGGAUUUAUUGGGCGUAAAGAGGCUCGUAGGCGGCUUGUUGCGUCGACUGUGAAAACCCGCGGCUUAACUCGCGGGCUUGCAGUUGAUACGGGCAGGCUAGAGUUCGGUAGGGAGACUGGAAUUCCUGGUGGUAGCGGUGAAAUGUCGCAGAGUAUCAAGGAGGAACACCGGUGGCGAAGGC
rnacentral:rRNA from 1 species